GCUCUGCUCAGCUCCCAGUGCAAGCCUGUCACCCGUGAGACUGACACCAAGCCCCCGCCAGCCCAGGGAUCUGACCCCUGCCUGGCUUGUCCUCCCUCAGCAAGGGCCAGGACCACAUCUUGGUCCUCCCGUGGUGCCGGGAGCUGCCAUCUCCUCUCUGCUCAGAAUGUCUUCUCCCUCAGCAGUCCCAGCCUCUCCCUGGCUGGCUCGGGGUCUUCUUGGGAGCUAGCCUGGCUCACCACCCUUGCACUGCUGGUCCCUCAUGGGUGAUGCGAUGCUCCUUGGAGUGGAGGUUUCUCCUCGUCUCAGAAUAUGUCACCCUGGAGUCAGCAGAAGGGAAGGGAAGGAUCAGGAAGGCGGAGGAGGGACCACUUCUUACAUGCGAGGAAACUGAGCAGGUCAAGGCAUUCACCCGAAGCCAAACUAAACUCACAGAGGUGGAGCCUGGACCCAGCCCAGGCCUUCUAGAUCAGAGUUGC
rnacentral:lncRNA from 1 species